UGAUUGUCCUCCACUCGUUAGGCGUUUUCGUUUCAUUCUCCAAUUGUGGCGCUUCCUCCGUUGGUUGUUUCAAAAAUUCGUCUUGAUUUUCUUUAGGCAUUUCCUCUUGUAUUUUGUCUUUCAAGCUAUCUAAGAUACCUACAAGAUCAAAACCAGUAUCCUUUCUCGCCAAGCGAGCAUUAUUUCCGACAAAUACAACAUGAGGG
rnacentral:lncRNA from 1 species